rnacentral:rRNA from 1 species
AGAGUUUGAUCCUGGCUCAGAACAAACGCUGGCGGCGUGCCUAACACAUGCAAGUCGUACGAGAAAGUCCGCUUCGGUGGAUGAGUAAAGUGGCGCACGGGUGAGUAACGCGUGGAUAAUCUACCCUUUAGUCUGGAAUAACUUAUCGAAAGGUGAACUAAUACCGGAUAAUAUCCCGAUUUCUUCGGCGAUCGGGAUCAAAGAAGGCCUCUGCUUGCAAGCUUUCACUGAAGGAUGAGUCCGCGUACCAUUAGCUAGUUGGCAGGGUAAUGGCCUACCAAGGUUAUGAUGGUUAGCUGGUCUGAGAGGAUGAUCAGCCACACUGGAACUGAAACACGGUCCAGACUCCUACGGGAGGCAGCAGUGAGGAAUAUUGCGCAAUGGGGGCAACCCUGACGCAGCAACGCCGCGUGAGUGAGGAAGGUUUUCGGAUUGUAAAGCUCUGUCGAGCGGAAAGAAGUGCAUGGUGGUUAAUAUCCAUCAUGCUUGACGGUACCGCUAAAGGAAGCACCGGCUAACUCCGUGCCAGCAGCCGCGGUAAUACGGGGGGUGCAAGCGUUGUUCGGAAUCAUUGGGCGUAAAGCGCGUGUAGGCGGCUGGACAAGUCAGAUGUGAAAGCCCUGGGCUUAACCCAGGAAGUGCAUUUGAAACUGUUCAGCUAGAGUAAGGGAGAGGAAAGUGGAAUUCCUGGUGUAGAGGUGAAAUUCGUAGAUAUCAGGAGGAACACCGGUGGCGAAGGCGACUUUCUGGCCCUAUACUGACGCUGAGACGCGAAAGCGUGGGUAGCAAACAGGAUUAGAUACCCUGGUAGUCCACGCUGUAAACGAUGUUCACUAGGUGUUGGGGGUAUUGACCCUUCCAGUGCCGCAGCUAACGCGUUAAGUGAACCGCCUGGGGAGUACGGUCGCAAGAUUAAAACUCAAAUGAAUUGACGG